AUUGAACGCUGGCGGCAGGCCUAACACAUGCAAGUCGAGCGAGCGGCGGAGGUGUGUGUAAUGUAUGGGGAUCUGCGCGAUAGAGGGGUAUAACUACUGGAAACGGUGGAUAAUCCCGCAUACUCAGGGAUGAACACAUAUGGGAUUAGCUAGUAGGUGGGGAAAAGGCUCACCUAGGCGACGAUCUCUCGCUGGUCUGAGAGGAUGACCAGCCACACUGGAACUGAGACACGGCCCAGACUCCUACGGGAGGCAGCAGUGGGGAAUAUUGCACAAUGGGCGCAAGCCUGAUGCAGCCAUGCCGCGUGUAUGAAGAAGGCCUUAGGGUUGUAAAGUACUUUCAGCGGGGAGGCGUUACCCGCAGAAGAAGCACCGGCUAACUCCGUGCCAGCAGCCGCGGUAAUAC
rnacentral:rRNA from 1 species